AUUGAACGCUGGCGGCAGGCCUAACACAUGCAAGUCGAGCGGAUGAAGGGAGCUUGCUCCUGGAUUCAGCGGCGGACGGGUGAGUAAUGCCUAGGAAUCUGCCUGGCAGUGGGGGAUAACGUCCGGAAACGGGCGCUAAUACCGCAUCCGUCCUGAGGGAGAAAGUGGGGGAUCUUCGGACCUCACGCUAUCAGAUGAGCCUAGGUCGGAUUAGCUAGUUGGUGGGGUAAAGGCCUACCAAGGCGACGAUCCGUAACUGGUCUGAGAGGAUGAUCAGUCACACUGGAACUGAGACACGGUCCAGACUCCUACGGGAGGCAGCAGUGGGGAAUAUUGGACAAUGGGCGAAAGCCUGAUCCAGCCAUGCCGCGUGUGUGAAGAAGGUCUUCGGAUUGUAAAGCACUUUAAGUUGGGAGGAAGAGCAGUAAGUUAAUACCUUGCUGUUUUGACGUUACCAACAGAAUAAGCACCGGCUAACUUCGUG
rnacentral:rRNA from 1 species